rnacentral:rRNA from 1 species
UACGUAGGGGGCUAGCGUUGUCCGGAAUCAUUGGGCGUAAAGCGCGUGUAGGCGGUCCGGUAAGUCCGCUGUGAAAGUCGGGGGCUCCACCCUCGGAUGCCGGUGGAUACUGUCGGGCUUGAGUACGGAAGAGGCGAGUGGAAUUCCUGGUGUAGCGGUGAAAUGCGCAGAUAUCAGGAGGAACACCAAUUGCGAAGGCAGCUCGCUGGGACGUUACUGACGCUGAGACGCGAAAGCGUGGGGAGCAAACAGG